rnacentral:rRNA from 1 species
AUGGGUGGGGACAUGGCCUACUCCGCCAUAGGUGGUAGCUCUGGCGAGGGUUCGGCUGUUCCCCGGCGGACGACUUCAGCUCCGGCGAGCGCCUUUGAUCUCAAGCGACAAAGUUCUGCUACGCGCAUGUACCAAGAUCCUUCAAUUGUUUUCUCUGAUGCUCCUCCGGCUGGAUCCACUGCAAAUUGGCAUACCAAAGAUGGGGCGGCAAAUGAGGAGAGUUUUGUUCAGCAACCUUUCACAAGUCAUGGUGGUGGGGAUUCAGAUGGUAUCCUAAACACUCAUGGUGGAAUGCAUGAUGCAGAUGAGGAUGAUGAUAUUUCAUCUCAGCCACUUCUGCCCUAUGUUGGCAUGGAAUUUGACUCAAUUGAAGAUGCCCAAAAGUUCUAUAAUGACUAUGCAUUUGGAACGGGCUUUGGCUCACGCCUAGCUUCCUCAAAAAACAGCCAGAAGAAAGGUCCACAACAACUUAUCAAGAGGGUCUUCCAAUGUGUGCAUGCUGGCAAACCGGAGACUACAUGUGAGACAAGCAGCCACUCGAAAGGAAUUGCAGCAGGGGGAAGCUCAUCAAGCAAGCAGGCCGGGGUUGAAAUGGAUGUGACAGUCAAGCGUCAGAGGAAUCGGAUUAUGCGUUAUGAUUGCAAAGCUCAUAUGAUUGUUGGCCUCAGGGGCAAUAAGUGGGUUGUUACCUACUUUGUUGCACAACAUACACACCCUUUGAUGCAGCAUGAGGAGAUUGUGAGGUUCUACCACUCACACCGCAAAAUUCCAGAAGAAGAUUACCAACUACUGAUGACAAUGCAUGAUGUAAACUUGUCAACUACAAAUUGCAUGGGAAUGCUUGGAAUGGUCCAUGGCGGAGACCGGAGGAAACUGCCAUAUGUGAAGAGGGAUGUUUCAAAUGCGCGUUCCAAGCUGCGACAAAAUCAGUCAUUUCAGGACAUGGAUAUGACGGUUGCUUACUUUAAGAGGCGUCAAGCUGAGAAUGCUCAAUUCUACUACGCAACAGAAGUUGACAAAGAAACAAACGAAGUGACAACUCUGUUUUGGGUGGAUGGAAGGACAAGAGCAUUGUACCCAAAGUACAAAGAUUGUGUGUUCUUUGACACAACAUUUUACACAAAUCGGUACAAUCUGCCUUUUGCUCCUAUUGUUGGUGUGAACAACCACUUGCAAACCGUGCUGCUAGGUUGUGCCUUGGUGCCAAAUGAACAAAUAGAAACUUUCAAGUGGGUGUUUCAACAUUGGAUGAUUGCAUGA